GCCAUAGCACUUACUAAGGAGCUGAGGUCUCAUCAAAAAUUGAAGUACAUCGAGCAGCAGUAUCAUAUCAUAUGCAACUAUCUCGAAAAAAAACAUAUCGAGGUGUGAAGAGUAGACUCCGUGGAUAACAUGGUAGACUCGCUGACUAAGCAGCUAAGCCAACCAAAAAUAGAAUUCCAUCUUGAGAAGAUGGGACAUAGAUUUGUGGCCAAUUGGCUUUAGUUCAAGUAGGAGAUUGUUAGAUGUAUGUCCUAGAAGUCAAUAUGACUGACAUAUUGUAAUACCUCUAAAAUAUAAUUUUGUACUUAAUACAUUGAUGUGAUCAAUAAAAGGAUAAAUUUAUUUUUCAUUCAAG
rnacentral:lncRNA from 1 species